rnacentral:rRNA from 1 species
AGAUUGAACGCUGGCGGAAUGCUUUACACAUGCAAGUCGAACGGCAGCACGGGGGCAACCCUGGUGGCGAGUGGCGAACGGGUGAGUAAUACAUCGGAACGUGCCCAGUCGUGGGGGAUAACUACGCGAAAGCGUAGCUAAUACCGCAUACGAACUCUGGUUGAAAGCGGGGGACUCGCAAGAGCCUUGCGCGAUUGGAGCGGCCGAUGGCAGAUUAGGUAGUUGGUGGGGUAAAGGCUCACCAAGCCGACGAUCUGUAGCUGGUCUGAGAGGACGACCAGCCACACUGGGACUGAGACACGGCCCAGACUCCUACGGGAGGCAGCAGUGGGAAUUUUGGACAAUGGACGCAAGUCUGAUCCAGCCAUUCCGCGUGCAGGAUGAAGGCCCUCGGUUGUAAACUGCUUUUGUACGGAACGAAAGGUGACCGGUUAAUACCUGGCGCUCAUGACGGUACCGUAAGAAUAAGCACCGCUAACUACGUGCCAGCAGCCG